rnacentral:rRNA from 1 species
GACGACGCUGGCGGCGUGCUUAACACAUGCAAGUCGAACGGUGACGGAGAGCUUGCUCUCCUGAUCAGUGGCGAACGGGUGAGUAACACGUGGGCAACCUGCCCCAGACUUCGGGAUAACGCUUCGAAAGAGGUGCUAAUACCGAAUACGAACGCCGUGGGCAUCCACGGUGUUGGAAAGUUUUCGGUCUGGGAUGGGCCCGCGGCCUAUCAGCUUGUUGGUGAGGUAAUGGCUCACCAAGGCGACGACGGGUAGCCGGCCUGAGAGGGCGACCGGCCACACUGGGACUGAGACACGGCCCAGACUCCUACGGGAGGCAGCAGUGGGGAAUAUUGCGCAAUGGGCGAAAGCCUGACGCAGCAACGCCGCGUGGGGGAUGAAGGCCUUCGGGUUGUAAACCUCUUUCAGCAGGGAAGAAGCGAAAGUGACGGUACCUGCAGAAGAAGCACCGGCUAACUACGUG